GAAGGAAUUAAGAGCGCACAGUGGAUGCCUUGGCACCAAGAGCCGAUGAAGGACGCAAUUAACGGCGAUACGCCACGGGGAGUUGUAAAUAAAUGAAGAUCCGUGGAUUUCCGAAUGGGGAAACCUACUAUAAUAACAUUAUAGUUUUUUGAUUUUCGAAUCAAAAAGGGAUACGCAGUGAACUGAAAUAUCUAAGUAACUGCAGGAAAAGAAAGUAAUAACGAUUCUGGCAGUAGCGACGAGCGAAUCCGGAGGAGCCUGAUACCACCACUAGUUACAAAAUUUUAACCAACUUGAAGUUUUUGGGAAAAAACACCAAAGAAGGUGAUAGUCCUGUAAGGGUAAGUUAAAAUCUAGGGUAUCGAAAAGUACGGCGAGACACGAGAAAUCUUGUUGGAACAUAGGGAGGACCAUCUCCUAAGGCUAAAUACUACUUGGUGACCGAUAGUGAACUAGUACCGUGAGGGAAAGGUGAAAAGAACCCCGGAAGGGGAGUGAAAUAGAUCCUGAAACUGUGUGCUUACAAUUAGUUAGAGCUCGUUAAUGAGUGAUAGCUUGCCUUUUGCAGAAUGAACCGGCGAGUUAUGAUAUAUAGCAAGGUUAAGUUUGAAGGAACGAAGCCAUAGCGAAAGCGAGUCUUAAUAGGGCGUUUAGUUUUAUGUCAUAGACCCGAAACUGAAGUGAGCUAGCCAUGAACAGGUUGAAGUUUGGGGACAACCAAAUGGAGGACCGAACCAGGAUACGUUGAAAAGUGUUUGGAUGAUUUGUGGCUAGAGGUGAAAUUCCAAUCGAACUCAGAGAUAGCUGGUUCUCCCCGAAAUAGCUUUAGGGCUAGCGUUAAUUAAGAAAUUUUAAUGAAGGUAGAGCACUAAAUGAUUGAGGGCUCCACCUCGGGGUACCGAUAUCAAUUAAACUCCGAAUGUCAUUAAAAACAAUUAGCAGUCAGACUGUGGGUGAUAAGGUCCAUG
rnacentral:rRNA from 1 species